rnacentral:rRNA from 1 species
UACGGAGGGGGCAAGCGUUGUUCGGAAUUACUGGGCGUAAAGGGCUCGUAGGCGGCCAACUAAGUCAUACGUGAAAUCCCUCGGCUUAACCGGGGAACUGCGUCUGAUACUGGAUGGCUUGAGUUCGGGAGAGGGAUGCGGAAUUCCAGGUGUAGCGGUGAAAUGCGUAGAUAUCUGGAGGAACACCGGUGGCGAAGGCGGCAUCCUGGACCGAUACUGACGCUGAGUGCGCGAAAGCCAGGGGAGCAAACGGG